CCAUUCACGAGAGAACUGUUGUUUGAUGCUAUUGUUGCUACAUUUCAAAAUAUUUCUGGAAAGGAUGUUAUUUCCAUCUGGAAUACCAAUCAAGGGGGAACAUUUUAUGUUACCUUUAAGGACAAAAGGAGGGCAAAACUUUUGAUUGAGGCCGGGAGAAUCUAUUACAAGGGAAUAGACAUCCUUAUUACCUCGUAUGAAAAAAAGAUUCAUGAAAUAAAAAUCCACUGGUUGCAUGAUGAUGUAAAAGAAUCCUUCAUUAGAAACUUUUUGAAAGGAUAUGGUGAGAUAUUGGAUAUCACCAGAGACACUGUGACACUUUCUGGAAAGGCAACGGUUAGGACUGGAGUGAGAACUGUUCGCAUGGUCCUGAAUCAAGGUGUGAUUGAUGAUGUUCCUCACAUAGUGAGAUUAGGAGAUGGAAUGACCAUGUUGCUUGCCAUUUUGGGAAGAUCUCCCAUGUGUCUUCGAUGUGGCUUUAAAGGUCACAUGAGGAACAAUUGUCAGGCACAGCCAUACGAGUUCUUUAACCGUGUAAUGCAGCGGAGUAUCAGAGAGGAGAAAAAGAGGAGGUCUGAAGGAGACAAUGUGUCAGAGGAGGUGAGUGAGAAUGGUGGAGAAGGUGUAGGUGAAGGUGAUGACUCAGAGAAUAUUUGGCACAAGGAAAAUGAACCAGUAUGUAAUGAUGACAUGUGCAAGCAGGUAGAUGAGGAAAUGGAGAAGGUAGAUGAGGAAAGGAGAAGGAGAAAGAAGGUGAGAAUGUGAACGUGGCUGAAUCAAAGCCCAGUACCUCUUCUACAGUGGAUGUCAUUGCAGCAGUAGCUGCAAGUCUUUCUGAUUCUGAUUCGCAGUGCCUUAAAGAAAUUCAUAACCUUAUGGAUACGAGUGACGAUGCUUUUACUGUGCCUACAGAGACAGCUAAGAGAAAGAGUAGGUCCAAAAGUAGGGGAAAAGGUAGGGGAAAGACGAGGCGAGAGUUGAGUAACAGUCCAUGUACUCCAAGGCAGGCCAGAGACAGUAGGUCCACUGUUAAAUCUUACUCGGAUGUGGUGUGUGACACAGGAGGGUCAGAGUUGAGAGUGAUCCUGUCUUCUUGAUAAUAACCUAAGCAAUGCCCAUCGACUAUGAGACAGAAGAAUGGAUGUAACACAGACUCAGAAAACAUAUCCUCAAAAGAGGAGACUUGGUGGCGGUAUCUUGGCGAAAUUCUACUGGUGUUGGUUCCCGACUUGAUAGAUUCUAUGUAACAUCUUCCCUCCUGUCCGCUGUCGAAUCUACGAGAAUCUCCCCAUGCUCAUUCUCAGACCAUGAAUAUGUGACGGUAAGAAUUAAAGAUAUUGAAGGCAUAGAUUUUGGUAACUCUUAUUGGAAAUGUAAUAAUAAUAUUUUCGAUGAA